CGUUAGGUUCGCGUCGAUGGUUCCUGACAUGCCUAGCAACGUCAGGUGAAAAGGGAAUACGGUGAGGACUACCCAUCAGGGGCCGAGACCGUGACUGCCCCCGCAACUGUGAGCGGCGAGCAACCUCCUAAUACCACUGGCAAUCCGUUUUCGGGGCGCUGGGAAGGUGGAGGACGCGACGACCCGCAAGUCAGGAGACCUGCCAUCAUAAUUGAAACCGA
rnacentral:ncRNA from 2 species